rnacentral:rRNA from 1 species
AUGGAGUAUAUAUGCAUGCGAACUAGAAAGACCCCCCCACACACACACAAAGAGAGAGAGAGAGAGAGAGAGAGAGAGAGAUGGAGAGAAAGGGAGAGGGACCAACAAGGUUUGUGUGUCGGAUGCGUGCAACAAAAUUGA